rnacentral:lncRNA from 1 species
GGGUGGGAGUUGUGGUAAUUAAUAUGGUAUCUGAGCAUAAGUAGAUGAAUUAUAAUAUAUAGAAUUGACAUGAGUUUAGGUGGAUAGAUACUAGAGAUAUUGGGAUGAUAACAUAUUUGAUUAUAACGUAACUUAGAAAAUUAGAUUUGGCAUAAGUGCAUUGAUGGAGUUGAAUCAAAGUGCAUAGUCGAAGCAUUAUGAUUUGAAUUAUUUUGAAUCUGAUUAGAACAAUAUUUUGAUUUGAGGGA